rnacentral:rRNA from 1 species
GACAAUGGAGGCAACUCUGAUCCAGCCAUGCCGCGUGCAGGAAGACUGCCCUAUGGGUUGUAAACUGCUUUUAUACAGGAAGAAAUAUACCUACGUGUAGGUAUUUGACGGUACUGUACGAAUAAGGAUCGGCUAACUCCGUGCCAGCAGCCGCGGUAAUACGGAGGAUCCAAGCGUUAUCCGGAAUCAUUGGGUUUAAAGGGUCCGUAGGCGGUCUUUUAAGUCAGAGGUGAAAUCCUACAGCUCAACUGUAGAAUUGCCUUUGAUACUGAAAGACUUGAGUUAUUGUGAAGUAGUUAGAAUGUGUGGUGUAGCGGUGAAAUGCAUAGAGAUCACACAGAAUACCGAUUGCGAAGGCAGAUUACUAACAAUAUACUGACGCUGAGGGACGAAAGCGUGGGUAGCGAACAGGAUUAGAUACCCUGGUAGUCCACGCCGUAAACGAUGGAUACUAGCUGUUCGAUCAACAUUGGUUGGUUGAGUGGCUAAGCGAAAGUGAUAAGUAUCCCACCUGGGGAGUACGGUCGCAAGACUGAAACUCAAAGGAAUUGACGGGGGCCCGCACAAGCGGUGGAGCAUGUGGUUUAAUUCGAUGAUACGCGAGGAACCUUACC